CUGAAGGCCCUAACUGUGCACCUCCAUGUUGACAGGUUGAUUACAGUGAGGACGAGGUUAAUGAUUGGACAUCUCAAAGAUCCACCAAGAAUAUCACUGAGGUGAAAGAGCUCCAGCCUAACAUGCUGUACAGAUUCAGGGUGGCUGCAGUGACCAGUCGAGGUGUUGGGAACUGGACUGAGAUUAAAUCCAUCACUCCCCAGAAAGGUAUGCUGAUAUUCUCUUGACAAGAUCAGGUAAACUCAGUUCUUACAGUUGUGUAACACUGACAUCUACUGACCCAGAUGUUACAAACAUUUCAGCAGGUAUACUGGAGCUUUUGGUUUUAUGAAAUUUUACUGGAUUCUGAUUGGUGCACCAUUCAACGACCGGAUAUCUAAUCCAGAUGUUUUAAUAAAGUCAGAUUAAAAUGAAGUCAGUCUUUUCUCAUUGAAUACUGCACAAAUUCACUAUCUUACAAACAGUGGCGCAAAAAGUGGGCAGCGCAUGCGAUGCAUAGGGGCGCUGCACCAGAGGGUUGGUCAAAACCCCGUCUGGAGGGGGCGCGCCGAUAAUGCCUUCGAAUACACUUCACCGCGCCCUUACGCUCCUUCACAUGUAAAUGUAAAUGUAGCGAGUUUGUGUGUGGGGGCAAGGGGGGAUAGAGCGAGCAUAUGUUUUCCACGCUCCUUCACUCUUACGUACCUUCCUUGGGGGGCUGGGGGAGGGUGCGAUUUAUGUUUUCGCAUCCACCUGAAUAAUCUGUAGUUGCGCCCCUGCUUACAAAUUAAAAUGAGACGUGAAAUGUGGGGCGUUAUCCAGGCAAAUUUAAUUACUUUCUUUCUUUCCUGAUUUUUAACAAAACAAUGAGCACCAUACAUAGACAUUCAAGUCAUACUUGAAACAGUACUUUGGAGAAUAAACACAAAUUAAUAAAUGGCAAAAGAAGAACCAAAAAUAAAACAAGACACAAACAAAAACCCAGCAAUUAUUUCCAUAAGUACAUGAAUAAAAAGCAGAUAACUAAAAAAUAAAUAAACAGAGGCAACAGAAAGAAAAUAAAAUAUAAAUUAAACAGAAAACAACUAAAAUGGGGCACUUAAAGGACUCAACGUAUCCUGUGCUACUAAAAUUGUUAUAAGACUUAGGUAAAGGGUGUAUGCCAUUACAACUGGGAAGCAAGGGGAGCACCACUCACGGGGUCACAUUGAGUGGCAAAGACCUAACUUGGUCCAGAAACGGUGACCAGAUUCUUCAAAAUGUGAUUUCAGAGCCUUUGAAAGUUUGCCUAAUUUUUUCCAGUUUCAUGAACGAAAGGGCAUCUUUUAUCCAAUGAGAAUGAGAGGGUGGGAGCAUGAUGGGGUGGCAGCAGGGGUGAAAGUAGGCGGGUACGGUCGGGUACUGCGUACCUCUAAAAGAUUUAGUGGGGAUACGCAGUACCUGCAAGAGAGGGGAGCGGCUGUCUGCUGUAAAAA